AUUAGAGUUUGAUCCUGGCUCAGAACGAACGCUGGCGGCGUGCCUAACACAUGCAAGUCGAACGAGAAAGUUUCUUCGGAAACGAGUAAAGUGGCGCAAGGGUGAGUAACACGUGAAUAAUCUGCCCUCAAACCUGGGAUAACUUGACGAAAGUUAAGCUAAUACCGGAUAAGACCCCGUUCCAUAAGGAACGUGGUAAAAGAAGUCUCAAACUUCUUUUGAGGAUGAGUUCGCGGACCAUUAGCUUGUUGGAGGGAUAACAGCCCCCCAAGGCGACGAUGGUUAGCCGGCCUGAGAGGGUGAUCGGCCACACUGGAACUGAGACACGGUCCAGACUCCUACGGGAGGCAGCAGUGGGGAAUUUUGCGCAAUGGGCGAAAGCUUGACGCAGCAACGCCGCGUGAGGGAUGAAGGUUUUCGGAUCGUAAACCUCUGUCAAGUGGGAAGAAAAAAAUGACGGUACCACUAAAGGAAGCCCCGGCUAACUUCGUGCCAGCAGCCGCGGUAAUACGAAGGGGGCGAGCGUUGUUCGGAAUCAUUGGGCGUAAAGCGUAUGUAGGCGGUCAAACAAGUCAGACGUGUAAGCCCCCGGCUCAACCGGGGAAUUGCGUUUGAAACUGUAUGACUUGAGGGCAGGAGAGGAAAGCGGAAUUCCCAGUGUAGCGGUGAAAUGCGUUGAUAUUGGGAAGAACAUCUGUGGCGAAGGCGGCUUUCUGGCCUGUUUCUGACGCUGAGAUACGAAAGCUAGGGGAGCGAACGGGAUUAGAUACCCCGGUAGUCUUAGCUGUAAACGAUGGGCACUAGUGCGGGGAGUUAUAGAUCCUCUCCGUGCCGUAGCUAACGCAUUAAGUGC
rnacentral:rRNA from 1 species